UCUUGGUCAUGAUGUUUGUUGCA
rnacentral:misc_RNA from 1 species